rnacentral:lncRNA from 1 species
GCUGCAAGGUCGAACUAUCAAAACAAUGCAGAUUGCUAGCAACAAGCAAGCUAAAGGUCAAAAUUUAUAAGCGCUAUGUGAACUGAUUACUGAGUAUCUUCCUAAGGUAUACUUCUACCACAUACCCAGUAAUUUUUCGACUACACACCAAAAUCAUACAAUUGUAUGCUAUUGGAGGGAUUGCCCAGGCCAUACCUGUCCUUGGUAACCUGGUACAGUACUUGUAUUUUAAGGGGGCAAGAAUGUUAACAUAUUUUUCUUGUGAUAUGAACAGGUUUGGUUUCGAUUUCGGAAAUCAAACUGGGGAUUUAUGUUGCCAGAAAAGUCUAAUGUUUUCGCUGUCAUAUAAAAAACUGAAAGCUUCAAGAGGUAAAGCCUGUCUUUUCACUAUUUAUUAUUCAUCCCAUGUUUUGAAUUGAAAAAAAGAUGAUUGUUUUUCAGAUCCUUGACUGCUUGCAGAAGAUAGAUACAAAGAUGCUGAGAGAUCAAUUUGAUAAUCAGUCCACAUCUGUAUGCUAAUAUUGAUCAAAAUUCCGGAUGACCUCGCAAAAGCAGACACCAAAUUUGAAUUUAGGCAUUUACUUUGAGCGUAUGUGAUCUUCUACUCAUCUUUAUUCCAAGUUCAGACUUCACUCCAGGCCAGCAACCCGUCUGCGACUACGUUACACAUCCCUGAACUUCAACUCUGUAAAUUGUGACUGCCACCUGCAGGGAAGUACCUGUAAUUCUAAGAAACUA